AGCCCCAUAGUAUAGUGGUCAAGUAUGCCCCCGGUUCGAAUCCGGGUGGGGCUA
rnacentral:tRNA from 1 species